rnacentral:rRNA from 1 species
UGAAAUCUGGCCCCUCGGGCCCGAGUUGUAAUUUGCAGAGGGAGUUUCGGAGGCGGCGCCGGCUUAAGUCCCUUGGAACAGGGCGUCACAGAGGGUGAGAAUCCCGUACGUGGCCGGCGGUCAAUUCCAGGUGAAACCCCUUCGACGAGUCGGGUUGUUUGGGGAUGCAGCUCAAAACGGGUGGUAAAUUUCAUCUAAAGCUAAAUACCGGCCAGAGACCGAUAGCGCACAAGUAGAGUGAUCGAAAGAUGAAAAGCACUUUGGAAAGAGAGUUAAACAGUACGUGAAAUUGUUGAAAGGGAAGCGCUUGCCGCCAGACUUGCCCGCGGGCGAUCAGCCUCCCUUCGGGGCGGUGCACUUCGCCCGCGGUCAGGCCAGCAUCGGUUUCGGCGGGCGGAUAAAGUCCCCAGGAAUGUGGCUCCCCUCGGGGAGUGUUAUAGCCUGGGGUGCAAUGCGCCCAGCCGGGACCGAGGACCGCGCUCCGGCUAGGAUGCUGGCGUAAUGGCGGUAAGCGACCCGUCUUGAAACACGGACCAAGGAGUCUAACAUCUGUGCGAGUGUUUGGGUGUCAACCCCAUGCGCGGAAUGAAAGUGAACGGAGGUGGGAGCCCCCGUCCCGGGGGCGCACCAUCGACCGAUCCUGAUGUCUUCGGAUGGAUUUGAGUAGGAGCACAGCUGUUGGGACCCGAAAGAUGGUGAACUAUGCGUGAAUAGGGUGAAGCCAGAGGAAACUCUGGUGGAGGCUCGCAGCGGUUCUGACGUGCAAAUCGAUCGUCAAAUUUGCGUAUAGGGGCGAAAGGUACGUGGUUAAAUUUCUAUUAUUUUGUAUCAGUAAUGUUCGUGGUGCUGACAUUUUUGGCAGACUAAUCGAACCAUCUAGUAGCUGGUUUCAGCCGAAGUUUCCCUCAGGAUAGCAGUAACGUUUUCAGUUUUAUGAGGUAAAGCGAAUGAUUAGAGGCCUUGGGGGUGAAACACCCUUAACCUAUUCUCA